rnacentral:tRNA from 1 species
AGCGGAGUGGCGCAAUCGGCGGCGCGCCGGACUCAUGAUCCGGAGGUUACAGGUUCGAGCCCUGUCUCCGCCA